rnacentral:lncRNA from 1 species
UAAAUCUAUGGUGGAAAUAAAUAUUUUAUUAUUUUUUCCUCACCGUGUGUCACCGGUGAGUCUCUAUCACAUACUGUUACACCUGCAGCUAAUGACUAACUAACUAACUAAUUAACUAACUAACUAAUUAACUAACUAACUAUCACCCCCAGUAUACCUUACUGUAACCCUUUCAGUUCGGUUUUUAGAGUCAACGCUAAUUUCUGAAGAGAUUUCUCUUGAGUAUCCACUGUGCCCUAACCUAGGUUAGCUAAGUUAGGGUUAGAUAGACAGCAUAUAUUGUACAGAAGCUAGUGAAAUGAUUUAACACUAUUUCUGUUGUGUAUUUUCUUGGUUCUUUUUGCUUUUAGACGUAAAGGGAAGGUUAGAUUAGGGAAUUAGUCUCAAAAAUACAUUUUUGAUGACCCUUUGUUUGAUCACAAUGAGAGAUUCAUAAAAAAUGUGGUUACAAUUUUAGGUAAAUAUUAUAUAGACAAUAUGAAAUUUGCUAAUAAAAAGAGGAUUGAGGCAGUGAUGAGCUGACAUAAGAUUGUCUGCAGUGGCAGGGUGAAGAUCCAGCCGCGUGUGAGGAGCCUCAGAUGAAGCCGAGGGCCCACAUUAAGAAGUGCAUUGAAGGUCAGCUGGAGGGACUCCUUCCCACCUCCCACCAAUUGCCUCCAACCACACCUGAAAGGUAUCACAGCCUUCUUACCUGUCCCUCUACCACCCUGAAACCUCCCAUUCCUUUUUCUGAUUCUGAUUUACCACCCCGACACCUCCCAUUCCCUCUUUCAGGGAUGGCAGUAAGGCUCUGGUGGCGGUUGCGGAGGCAGAACCCUUGAACAGGCUGAACACCGCUGGUCCAGUUGCACAGUGUGAGGAAGCCCCGAUCACGUCCCUCACCACCACCCACUGCCCGGAGACAUUCAGCCAGUAAGACACUGCACUAUCACCCACCAUCAACACUCAAAUAAUCUCUUAAACACCUCACCACCAACAGUAAGACCUCUGUUUUUUCUCAUUUCAGGUCAGGGAUCGAUGUCCUGGUGGUGGUUGCAGAGGCGGGUCCCUCUUACAGGCUGGACACCAACAGCCCCGAGCCUGAGUCUGAGCCAGUGC